rnacentral:rRNA from 1 species
AUUACCGAGUUUACAACUCCCAAACCCCUGUGAACAUACCUCUUGUUGCUUCGGCGGGACUGCCCCGGUGCCUCUGUGCCCGGAUCCAGGCGCCCGCCGGAGACCCCAAACUCUUGUUUUUAAGUGAAUCUUCUGAGUCAUACAAACAAAUAAAUCAAAACUUUCAACAACGGAUCUCUUGGUUCUGGCAUCGAUGAAGAACGCAGCGAAAUGCGAUAAGUAAUGUGAAUUGCAGAAUUCAGUGAAUCAUCGAAUCUUUGAACGCACAUUGCGCCCGCUAGUACUCUAGCGGGCAUGCCUGUUCGAGCGUCAUUUCAACCCUCAAGCCCCCGGGCUUGGUGUUGGGGAUCGGCCGCCGCCAACCCGGUGGCCGUCCCCGAAUUCUAGUGGCGGUCUCGCUGUAGCCUCCUCUGCGUAGUAGCACACCUCGCAGUGGAACGCGGCGCGGCCACGCCGUAAAACCCCAACUUCUGAAUGUUGACCUCGGAUCAGGUAGGAAUACCCGCUGAACUUAAGCAUAUCAAUAAGCGGAGGAAAAGAAACCAACAGGGAUUGCCCUAGUAACGGCGAGUGAAGCGGCAACAGCUCAAAUUU